AAUAAGUUUUAUUUUGGCUUAAUAGUUUAUUAUUUAUUUAAUUUAUAUGUAAAUUUUUGUAAAUAUUUGUUUAUUUUAAAAAUGGGUAAAGUUAUUUAAUUGCAAUAAUUAAUAUUAUUAAUUAAAGAAAUUUAGAAAUAGUUAUAUAAUAUAGUUUUGACUAAAUUUGUGCCAGCAGUCGCGGUUAUACAAAUAAUACAAAUAAAUUAUUUUAAUUAAAGUUAAAUUAAUUAUAAAAAUUUUAAAUUGAAUUUAUUAAGUGAAAUUUUUAAAUUUAUUAGUUUUUAAAUGUAAUUGAAACUUGAAAAUUUUAAGUAUAAACUAGGAUUAGAUACCCUAUUAUUUAAAAUGUAUUUGUAAAAUUAAGGUAGUAAUAGUUAUGUUCUUUAAACUUAAAAAAUUUGGCGGUAUUUUAGUCUAUUCAGAGGAACCUGUUUUAUAAUCGAUAAUCCACGAUGGACCUUUCUUUAAUUUGUUAACAGUUUAUAUACCGUUGUUAUUAGAAUAUUUUAUAAGAAUGAUAAUUUUCAUAAUUUUAAAAUAGAAAAUAUAUCAGAUCAAGGUGUAGCUUAUAUUUAAGUAAUAAUGGGUUACAAUAAAGUAAUUUAAAAUGAAUAUAAAUUUGAAAUAUUUAUUGAAGGUGGAUUUGGUAGUAAAAUUAUAUAGAUUAAUAAUUUGACUUUAGCUCUAAAAUAUGUACAUAUCGCCCGUCACUCUUUCUUUUAAAGUAAGAUAAGUCGUAACAUAGUAGAUGUACUGGAAAGUGUGUCUAGAAUGC
rnacentral:rRNA from 1 species